rnacentral:lncRNA from 1 species
UUGUGAUCCUGGAGAAAGAUAUUUCAUAUCAGGCAUUUUUAAAAUAACCAUACCCUAAUCUUGCCUUCAAGGUUUCACAAUUGCUAUUUCCCACACUGCUGAUCUCAUUCUUAACUGGACACCUUCAGCCUAUUUCCCAAAGCCAAAGAGGCAGUAUGAGGAUUCAAGUCAAGAACGUCUCUUAUUAUCUUUCACCUGAACUUCCUCAACAUUGGAUCUUGGGAAGGCCUCUUGAGAAGCCAAGCAGAUGCCAGCAUUGUGUUUCCGGUACAGCCUGCGGAACUGUGAACAAAUCAAACAGCUUUUAUUUACAAAUCACCCUGUCUCAGGUAUUUCUUUACAGUAGUGUGAGAACUGACUAAGAUUAAGUAUAUUUUUUAGUAAUAAUUUUAAACCACUCACAACAAAUUAAA